rnacentral:sRNA from 1 species
UUGACAGCCCUGGAAACUGAAGUCCUCUGUUUAUUCAGGGAAUAGCUUCAAGCGCAGGCAGCACUGCAAACUGUCCCAGCCCUGUUCAACUAACAUACCCCAACCUUCCCUGGAGAAACCACUUUUAGUUGUACAAGUCUUUUUUUCUUUACUCAGACUACUGAAGUCUUGAGUUCCU